AGGGUAUGAAUGUAGUGCAGAGUAAAUGCAGUACAAAUGCAGGAAAAAUUAAUAUGCAGAUUGAUCUGCACUUUAUUUCCAAUCAACAUUAAAAAUGCAGAAGAAAUUAUAAUAUUAAAAAAUUAAGAAAACUGCAUGCAGGAGAAUUCAUGUGAUAAAAAACUGAUCUGCAAGCAAUUGGAAUAAGUGGGCUGGUCGAACACAGGAGCCCAAUGAAGUGUUGUCUUUCAUUUUUUUUUUUUUUGACAACUACUUUUUCUCCUUUAGUUAUCAAUAUUUCAUAUUACUUUAUUUCUUUCCUUCACAAAUUAAAAUUCAUCUUUAAGUAUAAGUUUUUUGUUUUGUUUUUUAUAAAGAAUUUAAGAUGAAUUUUCUUAUACAAAUAAUUAAAAUGACAUACUAUAUAUAUAAAAUAAUAUUAUUAAAUUUGACAAACACUUAUAUAUAUAUAUAUAUAUACAUAUUAAAAAUAGGGGUGAACACAUAUCGGAUAUCCGGAUGAUCC
rnacentral:lncRNA from 1 species